rnacentral:rRNA from 1 species
CCUACGGUGGGCAGCAGUGAGGAAUAUUGGUCAAUGGACGAGAGUCUGAACCAGCCAAGUAGCGUGAAGGAUGACUGCCCUAUGGGUUGUAAACUUCUUUUAUAUGGGAAUAAAAUGUUCCACGUGUGGGAUUUUGUAUGUACCAUAUGAAUAAAGAUCGGCUAACUCCGUGCCAGCAGCCGCGGUAAUACGGAGGAUCCGAGCGUUAUCCGGAUUUAUUGGGUUUAAAGGGAGCGUAGGUGGAUUGUUAAGUCAGUUGUGAAAGUUUGCGGCUCAACCGUAAAAGUGCAGUUGAAACUGGGAGUCUUGAGGACAGUAGAGGUGGGCGGAAUUCGUGGUGUAGCGGUGAAAUGCUUAGAUAUCACGAAGAACUCCGAUUGCGAAGGCAGCUCACUGGACUGCAACUGACACUGAGGCUCGAAAGUGUGGGUAUCAAACAGGAUUAGAUACCCUAGUAGUC